UGAGGAAUAUUGCGCAAUGGGCGAAAGCCUGACGCAGCAACGCCGCGUGGAUGAUGAAGUUCUUCGGAAUGUAAAAUCCUUUUGCAGGGGACGAAUAUGCUGGCUUGCCAGCACUGACGGUACCUUGCGAAUAAGCCACGGCUAACUACGUGCCAGCAGCCGCGGUAAAACGUAGGAGGCAAGCGUUAUCCGGAUUCACUGGGUGUAAAGCGCGUGCAGGCGGUUCGGUAAGUUGGGCGUGAAAUCUCCUGGCUCAACUAGGAGAGGUCGUUCAAUACUACCGGACUUGAGAGUGGUAGAGGAAGAUGGAAUUCCCGGUGUAGUGGUGAAAUGCGUAGAUAUCGGGAGGAACACCAGUGGCGAAGGCGAUCUUCUGGACCAUUUCUGACGCUCAGACGCGACAGCUAGGGUAGCAAACG
rnacentral:rRNA from 1 species